GAAAAAGGAUGGGGUCGCACAUUGGAUAGAAUGCAAUCUUUCAAAGAUAGAUGCGAUGGUAUUUGUUCAAUUGGAACGAAUAGCACUAACUCCAUCGAAGUUUCGAUGGAACCUACGGGUGUCAUGCAUGCUGUUCGUGAGAUGGGAUCACGGAUUCAAGCAACAGUGGAUGAAGAAACUGUAAAUUUAGCCUCUGCCUUGUUAGAUCAGGAAGAAUAAGAUGGCACAGCGCGAGACAUGUUUGGCGUAACCUCGCCGAGUAGUUGUUUGCUUUCUUUUUUUUUAAGUUUUUGUACUCACUUUCACGUAUGGGUCAUGUCUGUAGCUGAAUGUUUUCCUCUUUGUGUGCCUUUAACCUGUCUUAAGUGUUGACGAAAAGAACGCCGUUUAUUCAAACUGUCGUACGUACCCUCCGCAACAAUGCGCUUGUUCAGUGUGCUGCCCAUAGAUGAUACGCGUGAUAAUUACACGUAAGAAGUCGUGAUUUCAGACAGAAUAGUUACCUUCCGCAUUUAUCACAGUUAGCAUGUACCGAAGAGUUAUCAACUAUGUUCGUUCUCUUUUUUUAAAGACCAUAGAAAACGAUUCAUAUAAGGACAACAAUACACAAGUACAAUACAAUACAUAG
rnacentral:lncRNA from 1 species